UUGGUAUUUCAAUUGCCCUACUCUUGGUACCAUCAAACUGUCUUUCCUGCCGUCCAGUCUUUAAAGAUGGGUAGUUUGCUAACUCCUCCUCCUUCCAUAUGCUUUACUCGAGCGAAAACGGCGACGAGGAGCCAGGCAGCCCGGCCGUCAGGCAGACUCAGAGAGAGAGACACAGAGAAGAGAGCAGAGACCUCACUCACCUGGGAAGGUUCCUACAAUUUUGAUUCGUCCGACAUGCCUGUCUUAGGCUAAAGGCUUUUAUUGGGAUCCCUGGUCUACGUCACCCUCUUGUGAACAUCUGCCAAAAUCUAUCUGCAACGCCUUUGUGCAUGGUUCGACAAUGGUGAUUUAGCUCUCGGACUAGUAACUCUAGCUAAUUCAUAAAUUCACGUUGUUAACACUUGGGAUGGUGUUUGGUUUCGGUGUAUCGGCCCUUUUAUUUCCUUCCUGAUACUAUUGUAAACCUCGGUUGCUCAAUUGUAAGACAGCGAGCGAAGCAGAACGAAGGAAACGCCCUACGAUCUACGUGAAUUGCCUUGUUCUCCUACCAGUUGUUUGUAACUACGGUACUACGUCAUUUG